rnacentral:rRNA from 1 species
UACGAAGGGGGCUAGCGUUGUUCGGAAUUACUGGGCGUAAAGCGCACGUAGGCGGAUUUGUAAGUCAGGGGUGAAAUCCCGGGGCUCAACCUCGGAACUGCCUUUGAUACUGGGAGUCUCGAGCAAUGAAGAGGUGAGUGGAAUUCCUAGUGUAGAGGUGAAAUUCGUAGAUAUUAGGAAGAACACCAGUGGCGAAGGCUGGUCACAGGUCCGAUGCUGACGCUGAGGUUCGAAAGCGUGGGGAGCAAACAGG